rnacentral:sRNA from 1 species
UAAUAGCGUCAGGGAUAGGAAUGACAUCCUUUUUUUAGUAAAAUAUCAUUAGGAUAUAGAAUAGAGGUUUUACUAAAAAAAGAUAUAAUGGAUAGCCCGCUCGGAC